rnacentral:rRNA from 1 species
CAGUAGCCACGGUAAUACAGAGGGUGCGAGCGUUAAUCGGAUUUACUGGGCGUAAAGCGCACGCAGGCGGUCUGACAAGUCAGAUGUGAAAUCCCCGGGCUUAACCUGGGAACUGCAUUUGAAACUGUCAGGCUGGAGUCUUGUAGAGGGGGGUGGAAUUCCAGGUGUAGCGGUGAAAUGCGUAGAGAUCUGGAGGAAUACCGGUGGCGAAGGCGGCCCCCUGGACAAAGACUGACGCUCAGGUGCGAAAGCGUGGGGAGCAAACAGGAUUAGAUACCCCUGUAGUCCCUGUCUCUUAUAC